GACGAACGCUGGCGGCGUGCUUAACACAUGCAAGUCGAACGGAAAGGCCCUGCUUUUGUGGGGUGCUCGUGUGGCGAACGGGUGAGUAACACGUGAGUAACCUGCUCUUGACUUUGGGAUAACUUCAGGAAACUGGGGCUAAUACCGGAUAGGAGCUCCUGCUGCAUGGUGGGGGUUGGAAAGUUUCGGCGGUUGGGGAUGGACUCGCGGCUUAUCAGCUUGUUGGUGGGGUAGUGGCUUACCAAGGGUUUGACGGGUAGCCGGCCUGAGAGGGUGACCGGCCACAUUGGGACUGAGAUACGGCCCAGACUCAUACGGGAGGCAGCAGUGGGGAAUAUUGCACAAGGGGCGGAAGCCUGAUGCAGCAACGCCGCGUGCGGGAUGACGGCCUUCGGGUUGUAAACCGCUUUCGCCUGUGACGAAGCGUGAGUGACGGUAAUGGGUAAAGAAGCACCGGCUAACUACGU
rnacentral:rRNA from 1 species